rnacentral:misc_RNA from 1 species
GAUGAAGAACUUAGCAAAAUGCGAUACUUGGUGUGAAUUGCAGAAUCCCGUGAACCAUCGAGUUUUUGAACGCAAGUUGCGCCCGAAGCCUUUUGGCCGAGGGCACGUCUGCCUGGGCGUCACGCAUCGCGUCGCCCCCCACAAUUCUCCGUAAAGGGAACGUGUGUUUUGGGGGCGGAUAUUGGUCUCCCGUGCUCAUGGCGUGGUUGGCCGAAAUAGGAGUCCUUUCGAUGGACGCACGAACUAGUGGUGGUCGUAAAAACCCUCGUCUUUUGUUUCGUGCUGUUGCUCGCAAGGUAAACUCUUUAAAAACCCCAAUGUGUCGUCUCUUGACGACGCUUCGACCGCGACCCCAGGUCAGGCGGGACUACCCGCUGAGUUUAAGCAUAUCAAUAAGCGGAGGA